rnacentral:lncRNA from 1 species
AUGCAAAACGGUCCUUUGGACCCCCGAGAACGUGAGGUUAAAAAAAAAAAAAAAAAAAUCCAGCUCGGGGACGCCGUCCUUUUCCUGUCUGUCUGCCAGGUGAGAAAGCAGGCGGGGCUGGCGCGGGAACGGGGCGGCGGCCCGGCCGGCGCGCACCACGCGGUCGCUCUCCCCGGCUCACCCGGGGCUGGAGCGCUCGGGCCGCCGGCGCCGCCGACCGCGUGCCAGCGCUUUGUGCACGUGCGUGGGUUGGCUCGCCCGGUGCGGGGCUCAGAGCGCGCCCCGAAAAGUCUGCGGGGCUGUCUCUCGCCCACCCAGGGUGCCAAAGAAGAGCUGCAAACUGUGAAGUAACUUCUAUGAAGAGAUGAAGUGAAGAAUGGAAGGCAAAUGACUGUAUGUGUAUGUGGUGAGUGCUUAACAUUUGUUAUUAUCAUCCAUCACAAAGUUAAUUCAUAAAGGUGAAACUGCCAAACUCUUUUGUCAUUAGGUACUUAUAUUGUAAACAUGUAUAAAAGUGAUGAGUGUUACAUAACCAUUAUGUGAUCUGUUAUAUAGCAAUACCAUAGCAUUUUGCUUAAAGCUCACAUGUCACCUUUCAGGGCAUACCUUUACAAGUCUGUUUUACAAUGAAUCCAUUUCAGGGAGGUUAUGUAUGUCAUAUCUACUGUUAACUAUGGAAAAGAUAUAACAUUUUUUAUAUGCUUGGAAUUUCUAUCCUACUACUUUUUAUAUCUGAACUUCUGUGUUAAUCAUGUUUGUGUUGAAAGUAUUCUGGCUGGAGAACAGAUACUACACAGUUGAAUAAUAUUGAGGGGUAGAUUAAUCUAUAGACUUUCUUCAUUUUAGGGUGGGUUGCUGUGGCAACCACCCAGCUUACUUUAAGAUAAUUUUUUAAAGCUCAUUUCAAG